UGGGGCGACACACACGCUACAAUGGCGCCGACAAUGCGUCGUACGGCAAGCGGAUGCCAAUCGCCAAACGGCGCCCCAGUGCAGAUNGGGGGCUGCAACUCG
rnacentral:rRNA from 1 species